rnacentral:lncRNA from 1 species
GCCCCGGGGAGAAGCCUGGUAUUCUUCGUGUUUAUUUAAUUGUCAACUCUCUGUGUUCUAAGACGAUACCCUGGCCUUGACUCAGUACAACCUAGGACUGUAAGUCCCAUCAUGUCUAUGGACUUCAGUUUCCAGACAUGAAACACAAGAGGCUUGGACGAGAUUAGAAAUCAAGAACUCGAAUGCGUAUGGUCAGAGCCACGAGAGUUUCCAUAAAGGAACACAACCAUGUGGACAACUUGAUUAUGCCCUACAAAACUGAAUUCCUGUGAGCAUUCCUCUUCAAGAUGGAAGAAAAAGGGAAUAUUUCACAACCCCAAUGGUGAAACGUCUGCCUAUAGCCAACAAUACAAUCUGUGAGUCUUUUCUUGGUACCCAAAUUGUUCUGUGGAAGACUUUUUCAAAUUUCCAAGAAAUAA